GUCCACGCUGUAAACGAUGGGCACUAGGCGUCGGGGGAGCGACCCUCCCGGUGCCGUCGCUAACGCAAUAAGUGCCCCGCCUGGGGAGUACGGCCGCAAGGUUGAAACUCAAAGGAAUUGACGGGGCCCGCACAAGCGGUGGAGCAUGUGGUUUAAUUCGAUGCAACGCGAAGAACCUUACCUGGGCUUGACAUGCACGUGAAAGCCGGUGGAAACACCGGACCUCCUUCGGGGACACGUGCACAGGUGCUGCAUGGCUGUCGU
rnacentral:rRNA from 1 species